GUUGUGAACCAGCGGAGGGAUCAUUA
rnacentral:rRNA from 1 species